rnacentral:rRNA from 1 species
UACAGAGGAGCCAAGCGUUGUCCGGAUUGACUGGGCGUAAAGCGCACGCAGGCGGUUUCGCGCGUGGGGUGUGAAAUCUGGCCGCUUAACGGCCAGGCGCCAUCCCAUACGGCGCGACUGGAGCGAUGCAGAGGUCGGUGGAAUUGCCGGUGUAGCGGUGGAAUGCGUAGAGAUCCGGAAGAACACCGGUGGCGAAGGCGGUUGGCUGGGCAGGUGCUGACACUGAGGCGCGACAGCGUGGGGAGCAAACAGG